UUAUUUCGAUCCCUCUCUGCAAUUCGCUGCUCCCCUCACUCUCUCUCGCCAAAACUGGCCAGCGGCGCCGCCCUCCUCCUCUCAUCCUCGUUCGAGCUCUCUCGCCGCCUCCCUCCCUCUAUCGUUGCCAAAACCUGUGUCGAGCCCUCCCUCCCUCUUUCGUCGCCAAAAGCAGCACCGCCCGCCCUCCCUCUCUCUCGCCAAAACCAGCGCCGUCCAUCUACUCUCGUCGUCGUCGUUAGAGCUCUCUCGCCGCCUCCCUCCCUGUCUUGUCGCCAAAACUAGGGCGCCCUCACUCCCUCUCUCGUCUCCAAAACCAUCGUCGCCCUCCUCCUCGUGUCGUCGUCGUCAUCGUCGGAGCUCUCUCGCCACCUCCUCCUCUCCCCUAAAAACCCUGAUUCGAGCUCCUCCUCCUCCUUCAGUAGUAGACCGACCGCUCGAUUGGACCGCCGCUCAAAGCUCUGUCGCUCCCUCCUCCUCUUCGGUGAAAACCCUAACCCUAAUCCCCCUUUCCAUCAAAAACCUAAUCGCCACUUAAUUUGGCCUUCUCCUCCACUUAAUCGGAGUUCGACCCAGAAGCCUGGAUUCAUUAAUUGGUAUCUUAUUCUAAGAAUUGAUGAGGAUUCAGGGAGUGAUAUGAUCCGAAAGCGAUAUCGCUAGUUGGCAUUGCAGCUUCAUCCAGAUAAGAACAGGCAUCCAAAAGCCGAAGUGGCAUUCAAGCUUAUUUCAGAGAUACGUGAUGUGCUUGCACGAAGAGGGGAAGAUUUACACAUAGAUGUCAAUUUUCUAUCUAGGUCUUAUGUCUUACUGUUAUGUAUCAAUGUUCGGAUCUGAUUAUAAAUGAAUGUGUGUCUUCCUAGUAGUUCUAUUUUUUUGGGAGUCUAUCAUACACUCUCGUAUGGAGCUUUUCAAUGGACAGUAUUAUGAUCGACCAUAGCAUUUCACGUCGAAAUUGACCCCCUUAGUGGUUUUGUAUGGUCAUCGUCCCUUUGCGUAGUAGAAACUAACAUAAAAUUUUCAAACAGGCUGUACAAAGAGUGUUAUUAUAUGACAGGCAUAGAGAUAUGAGGCUUGAUGUUGAUAAUGUCUUAUGAGGCAUUGCCAACAUCAAAUGAGAGAAGAAUAUAUGCACAUUGCAAAAUUAAUUGAAGAUGUCGUUGGUACGACAAUAGCUUGGCCAUCAGACAAAGUUGUUAUGCUUUAAAAAGCUGCAGUACUAGUACUCAAUUUCUGAAGAUGAUGAGUCUCCCAAGUCAUAUGUAAUGCAGCAAAGUUAAUUUUUGUUGUUCUGUGUACUAUGGUUAAUUUCUUGUACUCCAUGUUGGAUUAUCCAAAGACUAGUAUUUGUUUUUUGGCACAUUUGUGUUGACUCUUCUUGUAUGCUACAACUUGGUUAUGUAUCAGUUUGAACCUUUAAAUGAAAUAUUUUCUUUUAUGGUUGUCACAA